GAGCCACCGAGCGCAGCAAGCAUAACAUUAGUUAACAAACAACAUUCUUUGGGAAAAGGCUGUGCGCUCUCGAGAUGGAUUUUAUUCUCGUUUGGACCGACUGACUUAUAUCGGUGUGAGAGUGGACCAAGACGAUGACAGGUCCCAACCUGGAACCAUUACCGAGGAGUGUCAGGCACAACACAGCCCACCAUCAUCAGUUCCUUCUGAGGAAGGCUCUGAGGCUUCUGAGCAGGACGACGACCCAGACCCAGAGCAACCAGAGCCUGAAGAUGUGCUUCCCUGAUUGUAGUAGGGAAAAC